AAACAUAUGUCUCAGUGGGGAGGGUACGUGCCUACCAUUCACGAGUUCCUGGGUUCAAUCCCCAGUACCUCUA
rnacentral:tRNA from 1 species